AGUCAAGCAAGAAAGGGUGUUUGGUGAAUGCCUUGGCGAAAGCCGGCGAUGAAGGACGUGGUUAGCUGCGAUAAGCCUCGGUUAGCCGUAAACAGGCUUUGAUCCGGGGAUGUCCGAAUGGGGCAACCCCCGAAGGUAAACCCUUCGGAUUCCUGUCUGAAUACAUAGGGCAGGAAGGCAACCCAGGGGAAUUGAACCAUCUUAGUACCCUGAGGAAAAGAAAACACCGUGAUUCCCCCAGUAGCGGCGAGCGAAAAGGGAACAGCCUAAACCUGACCGAUGUCAAGCCUGGACGCGUUGUCGGUUGGGGGUAGUGGGAGGAGGUUGGGCUGGAGUCCAGUCCAGCCGUCAGGUUACAAACCCGAAGUUUAGCCGAACAGGCUGGAAAGCCUGACCAGAGUCGGUAAUAGUCCGGUAGGCGAAAGACCGAGGGCCUGAUGGACCUUCUUCCCGAGUACCGCGGAAUCCGGGAAAGUCCGCGUGAAUCCAGCCCGACCACGGGCAAAGGCUAAAUACGUGCUUUCGACCGAUAGUGAACUAGUACCGCGAGGGAAAGGCGAAAAGAACCCCGAGAGGGGAGUGAAAUAGAACCUGAAACCAGACACCUACAAACAGUGGGAGGGCUAUGUCCUUGCGUGGCAACACAAAAGGAAAUGCCUGACCGCGUGCCUAUUGAAGAAUGAGCUGGCGAGUUACUGGUGUACAGCGAGGUUAAACCGCUUCAGCGGUGCAGCCGUAGCGAAAGCGAGUCCUAACCGGGCGUCUUUAGUUGUACACCGUAGACCCGAAGCCGGGUGAUCUACCCUUGGUCAGGAUGAAGUCCUACUAAUACGGGAUGGAGGUCCGAACCGGUGCCGGUUGAAAACGACUCGGAUGAACUGAGGGUAGGAGUGAAAGGCUAAUCAAACUCGGCGAUAGCUGGUUCUCCCCGAAAUAGCUUUAGGGCUAGCCUUCCGAAAUUAGAGAGCGGGGGUAGAGCUACUGGAUGGCUGCGAGGAGGCACCACCUCCUCAAUUCCAACCAAACUCCGAAUACCGCUUUUCUUUAUCGGAGGAGUCAGACAGUGGGGGCUAAGCUUCAUUGUCGAAAGGGAAAAAGCCCAGACCGUCGGUUAAGGUCCCAAAAUACGGACUAAGUGGGAAAGGAAGUGGGUUCGCCCAGACAGCCAGGAGGUUGGCUCAGAAGCAGCCAUCCUUUAAAGAAAGCGUAACAGCUCACUGGCCGAUCACCCGCAAGGGUGCGAGCCUGCGCCGAAAAUUUAACGGGGCUCAAGUCCGUUACCGAAGCCACGGAAUAUUGUCCGCAAGGACGGUAUUGGUAGGGGAGCAUUCCCUAAGCCUGUGAAGCCUGACCGUAAGGACAGGUGGAGGUAUGGGAAGCGAGUAUGUCAGCAUAAGUAGCGAAAAUCCCGAUGAAAACUCGGGACGCCGAAAGUCUAAGGUUUCCUGGGCAAGGUCAAUCCACCCAGGGUUAGGCGGUGGCUAAGUCGAGGCCGAAAGGCGUAGAUGAUGCACAGCCGGUUAAUAUUCCGGCCCUGCCGAAAAGGCGUUAUCAGCGAAGGGGAGAAGCGGUAAGAUAGACCAUCCGUUUACUGGAUUACGGUCUAAGUCUGAAGGAGAGCCUCUUUGGAAAACCCGGGGGGCUGCUUCGCAAGGAGCAACUCCGGAAGACCAAUGGGACCCAAACCCACGGGGGCGGGGAACUGGUCGAAUCAAACCGCCAAGAAAAACCUCGUAGUGAGUCUUUUCGGUAGCCGUACCGCAAACCGACACAGGUAGACUGGCAGAAUAUGCCAAGGCGCUCGGGAUAAUCCUCGUUAAGGAACUCGGCAAAAUUGCCCCGUAACUUCGGAAGAAGGGGUGCCUGAGUAAUUUGGGCGCAAGUCUGAACGAAAAGGCCGCAGUGAAAUGGCUCCUGCGACUGUUUAAUAAAAACACAGGUGCCUGCUAAGUCGCAAGACGAUGUAUAGGCACUGACACCUGCCCGGUGCCGGAAGGUUAUGGAGAGGGGUGAGGCGCAAGCGUAGCCCUGAACCGAAGCCCCGGUAAACGGCGGCCGUAACUAUAACGGUCCUAAGGUAGCGAAAUUCCUUGUCGGGUGAGUUCCGACCCGCACGAAUGGUGUAACGACAGGAGCGCUGUCUCAACGAGGAACCCGGUGAAUUUGUGAUACCCGUGAAGACGCGGGUUACCCGCAACAAGACGAAAAGACCCCGUGAACCUUAACUGUAACUUGUUAUUGGGUUUUAAACUAGUAUGUGUAGGAUAGGUGGGAGGCUUUGAAGCCCCGGCGCUAGCUGGGGCAGAGCCAACGGUGAAAUACCACCCUUACUAUUUUGGAAUUCUAACCUCUCCCUGUUAUCCAGGGAAGGGACAGUGGCAGGCGGGCAGUUUGACUGGGGCGGUUGCCUCAAUGGUGGGGCGCCCUGAUGGCAACAUCAGGGGCAAAUCUGGCUGUAUGCUGGGAAGUCCGGAGUAUCACCGGUUACUUGGUAGUUUGAUUUUAAUAUCAAGUGAAAAUACCGGUGUGCGGACAAUCAGCAGGGAAGUUCUCAAAGAACCCCUCAACGACUAAACGCCAGACAGCCUUGUAAAAAGGCUGGUGAGAUAGUCUGAACUCUAUCGCGAGGUAGAGUCUGCUUUACGCGGACGCUCGGUUGGAACGGAGGAAGGGAUGCAUUCCAAAGAAAUUGAAACCUACAAAAAAUCGCUUAAACUCACAAAAAACCAACGUGAAAUUCUGAUCGGGACAUUAUUGGGAGAUGCCCACCUUGAAAGUCAAAACCACGGCAGGACUUACCGGUUAAAGAUAGAACAAAGCAUAAAACACCGUACUUACGUGGAACACCUUUAUCAGAUUUUCAAGGAGUGGGUAUCUACGCCGCCACGCGUAAGAACUCGUGUCGGAGAAAAUAAUUCCCGGAGCGAAAUGACUGGGUUUCAAACCUACAGCCAUGGUGCCCUGCGCUUCUAUGCCCAUCAAUUUUACCAGGCAGGGCGGAAACACGUACCGAAGCUCAUUCACCGCUGGCUGACACCAAGAGCAAUGGCUUACUGGUUUAUGGACGACGGUAGUAUCAAGUGGCGCCAUUCCAGGGCGGUAAUUUUUAAUACUCAAGGUUACACCCGGGAAGAAGUGCAAAAUCUGGCGGAUUUGAUACGUGGUAAAUUUGGAUUAGAUGCAAAACUGCGAAGACAAAAAGAAGGUUAUCAAAUAUGCAUCCUCGGCCAUUCUCUAAAGCAAUUUGUAGAAUUGGUCGGACCCUAUCUCCUUCCGGAAAUGAUUUACAAACUUCCUUUGGCCGGGCGAACAUUAUUGCCCAAAGAAUAACGGAGGUGUCCAAAGGUCACCUCAGGCCGGUUUGCAAUCGGCUGUUGAGUGUAAAGACAUAUGGUGGCCUGACUGCGAGAGAGACAUCUCGAGCAGAGGCGAAAGCCGGGCUUAAUGAUCCGGUGGUUCCGUGUGGAAGGGCCAUCGCUCAUCGGAUAAAAGGUACUCCGGGGAUAACAGGCUGAUCUCCCCCAAGAGUUCACAUCGACGGGGAGGUUUGGCACCUCGAUGUCGGCUCAUCGCAUCCUGGGGCUGAAGCAGGUCCCAAGGGUUGGUCUGUUCGCCCAUUAAAGCGGUACGUGAGCUGGGUUUAGAACGUCGCAAGACAGUUCGGUCUCUAUCUGCUGCGGGCGCAGGAGAUUUGAAGGGGAGCUAUCCCUAGUACGAGAGGACCGGGAUGGACGAACCUCUGGUGUUCCAGUUGUUCCGCCAGGAGCAAUCGCUGGGUAGCUAUGUUCGGACCGGAUAAGCGCUGAAAGCAUCUAAGCGCGAAGCCGACCUCAAGAUGAGAUCUCCCUCUUCUGGCCGCAAGGCCAGAAGACUUAAGGCUCCAAGAAGAUUACUUGGUUGAUAGGCCGGAGGUGUAAGUUCCGUAAGGAAUUGAGCCAACCGGUACUAAUCGGCCGUGCGGCUUGACUACAGAACC
rnacentral:rRNA from 2 species